GGUUUUACGACUGGAGUCCCGACUGCAGCGGUCAGAGUCUGCUUUUAAAAGAUGUUUCUCAUCAGAAAUCAUCUGAAGCUGAGCAACUGGAACAUCCUCUCUUUGGGCCUCAUCCAGUAUGGUGGCAGUCCAUAUCAUUCUCAACACUCAACUGUGCUCUUACACAAGUG